rnacentral:rRNA from 1 species
AGUGAACGCUGGCGGUAGGCCUAACACAUGCAAGUCGAACGGCAGCACAGUAAGAGCUUGCUCUUACGGGUGGCGAGUGGCGGACGGGUGAGGAAUACAUCGGAAUCUACUUUUUCGUGGGGGAUGACGUAGGGAAACUUACGCUAAUACCGCAUACGACCUACGGGUGAAAGCAGUGGUUCUUCGGACCUUUCGCGAUUGAAUGAGCCGAUGUCGGAUUAGCUAGUUGGCGGGGUAAAGGCCCACCAAGGCGACGAUCCGUAGCUGGUCUGAGAGGAUGAUCAGCCACACUGGAACUGAGACACGGUCCAGACUCCUACGGGGGGCAGCAGUGGGGAAUAUUGGACAAUGGGCGCAAGCCUGACCCAGCAAUACCGCGUGAGUGAAGAAGGCCUUCGGGUUGUAAAGCCCUUUUGUUGGGAAAGAAAAGCAGCAGGUUAAUACCCCGCUGUUCUGACGGUACCCAAAGAAUAAGCACCGGCUAACUUCGUG